GACGAACGCUGGCGGCGUGCCUAAUACAUGCAAGUAGAACGCUGAAGAGAGGAGCUUGCUCUUCUUGGAUGAGUUGCGAACGGGUGAGUAACGCGUAGGUAACCUGCCUUGUAGCGGGGGAUAACUAUUGGAAACGAUAGCUAAUACCGCAUAACAAUGGAUGACACAUGUCAUUUAUUUGAAAGGGGCAAUUGCUCCACUACAAGAUGGACCUGCGUUGUAUUAGCUAGUAGGUGAGGUAAUGGCUCACCUAGGCGACGAUACAUAGCCGACCUGAGAGGGUGAUCGGCCACACUGGGACUGAGACACGGCCCAGACUCCUACGGGAGGCAGCAGUAGGGAAUCUUCGGCAAUGGGGGCAACCCUGACCGAGCAACGCCGCGUGAGUGAAGAAGGUUUUCGGAUCGUAAAGCUCUGUUGUAAGUCAAGAACGGGUGUGAGAGUGGAAAGUUCACACUGUGACGGUAGCUUACCAGAAAGGGACGGCUAACUACGUGCCAGCAGCCGCGGUAAUACGUAGGUCCCGAGCGUUGUCCGGAUUUAUUGGGCGUAAAGCGAGCGCAGGCGGUUUGAUAAGUCUGAAGUUAAAGGCUGUGGCUCAACCAUAGUUCGCUUUGGAAACUGUCAAACUUGAGUGCAGAAGGGGAGAGUGGAAUUCCAUGUGUAGCGGUGAAAUGCGUAGAUAUAUGGAGGAACACCGGUGGCGAAAGCGGCUCUCUGGUCUGUAACUGACGCUGAGGCUCGAAAGCGUGGGGAGCGAACAGGAUUAGAUACCCCGGUAGUCCACGCCGUAAACGAUGAGUGCUAGGUGUUGGAUCCUUUCCGGGAUUCAGUGCCGCAGCUAACGCAUUAAGCACUCCGCCUGGGGAGUACGACCGCAAGGUUGAAACUCAAAGGAAUUGACGGGGGCCCGCACAAGCGGUGGAGCAUGUGGUUUAAUUCGAAGCAACGCGAAGAACCUUACCAGGUCUUGACAUCCCGAUGCUAUUUCUAGAGAUAGAAAGUUACUUCGGUACAUCGGUGACAGGUGGUGCAUGGUUGUCGUCAGCUCGUGUCGUGAGAUGUUGGGUUAAGUCCCGCAACGAGCGCAACCCCUAUUGUUAGUUGCCAUCAUUCAGUUGGGCACUCUAGCGAGACUGCCGGUAAUAAACCGGAGGAAGGUGGGGAUGACGUCAAAUCAUCAUGCCCCUUAUGACCUGGGCUACACACGUGCUACAAUGGUUGGUACAACGAGUUGCGAGUCGGUGACGGCGAGCUAAUCUCUUAAAGCCAAUCUCAGUUCGGAUUGUAGGCUGCAACUCGCCUACAUGAAGUCGGAAUCGCUAGUAAUCGCGGAUCAGCACGCCGCGGUGAAUACGUUCCCGGGCCU
rnacentral:rRNA from 1 species